rfam:Calypte anna contig8575, whole genome shotgun sequence.
GGGGAUGUAGCUCAGCGGUAGAGCGCUUGCUUUGCAUGCAAGAGGCCCUGGGUUCAACCCCCAGCAUCUCCA